rnacentral:rRNA from 1 species
AUUGAACGCUGGCGGCAGGCCUAACACAUGCAAGUCGAGCGAGCGGCGGACGGGUGAGUAAUGUAUGGGGACUGCCCGAUAGAGGGGGAUAACUACUGGAAACGGUAGCUAAUACCGCAUACUAUCGGAUAACCUAUAUGGGAUUGGCUAGUGGGUGAGGUAAUGGCUCACCUAGGCGACGAUCCCUAGCUGGACUGAGAGGAUGAUCAGCCACACUGUGACUGAGACAGGGCCCGGACUCCUACGGAGGCGGCAGUGGGGAAAUUUGCACAAUGGGCGCAAGCCGGAUGCGGCCAUGCCGCGUGGAUGAAGAGGGCCCUAGGGUGGUAAAGUACUUUCAGUCGGGAGGCGUUACCGACAGAAGAAGCACCGGCUAACUCCGUGCCAGCAGCCGCGGUAAUAC